GUUUUUAUAAUGAUGAAUCUGAGCUGGCUUGGGAUCCCCAUGGACUUGAUCUCGUCUGUAACGUAGCCGUUUCACUUCGUUAAAGAUGGGAUUUUUACCUUGGAGCAUGAGCUCGAGCUAGUUAUGGCAUCUAUGGACCUGAUCGCGAAGCCGUUCACGUUGAUGAGCCUUGCUGUCCUGGCCGGCGUUAGGAGUGUGAGCCUCGUGACGGCCACGUGGCGGAAUUUCGUGAGGGGUAUUGUUGAUUUCCAUGUGGGGCUGUGCUGGAGGGGUUUGGUUUGGAUCGGGGUGUUUGUUUCGCUGCCUGUGAAGAUCGUGACUGCUCUGCAUAGGGAGAGGACGCUGCAAGACGUUAAAGAAGAAAAUUCGCGGUUGAAUGGAAUCCAUGGAAAGUCCCCAUGGGAUUAUAAAUCCCGCGACGAGAAGAU